rnacentral:rRNA from 1 species
CCUACGGGUGUCAGCAGUGGGGAAUUUUGGACAAUGGGCGAAAGCCUGAUCCAGCAACGCUGCGUGGAGGACGAAGGUCUUCGGAUUGUAAACUCCUUUUGCGGGGGACGAAUGUCUGGGGCAACUCAGAUUUGACGGUACUCCGCGAAUAAGCCACGGCUAACUACGUGCCAGCAGCCGCGGUAAGACGUAGGUGGCGAGCGUUACUCGGAAUUACUAGGCGUAAAGCACGCGCAGGCGGAUGCUUAAGUCCGUUGUGAAAUUUCCCGGCUCAACCGGGACGAGGCAAUGGAUACUGGGCGUCUGGAGUGGGGCAGAGGAAGCUGGAAUUCCCGGUGUAGCGGUGAAAUGCGUAGAGAUCGGGAGGAACACCAGUGGCGAAGGCGGGCUUCUGGGCCUUUACUGACGCUGAGGCGUGAAAGCUAGGGGAGCAAACA